CUAAGUUUGGUGGCGACCGGCGCACGGGUGAGUAACACGUAUCCAACCUGCCGAUGACUCGGGGAUAGCCUUUCGAAAGAAAGAUUAAUACCCGAUGGCAUAGUUCUUCCGCAUGGUGGAACUAUUAAAGAAUUUCGGUCAUCGAUGGGGAUGCGUUCCAUUAGGUUGUUGGCGGGGUAACGGCCCACCAAGCCUUCGAUGGAUAGGGGUUCUGAGAGGAAGGUCCCCCACAUUGGAACUGAGACACGGUCCAAACUCCUACGGGAGGCAGCAUG
rnacentral:rRNA from 1 species